ACCGCGCUCCAGCUUUCUCCUCGUGCAUGCAGUGGCAGUGCCCUCUCCUGCCAUCGAGCUGUGACUGGUUUUUGUACAGCCACGUGUCACUGUGGUAUGUCUUCGGAGGAGGAACCCAGCUGACCGUCCUCGGACAGCCAAAGGCCUCUCCUACAGUGCACCUCUUCCCUCCAUCCUCGGAAGAGAUCAGCAGCAAGAGCAAGGCCACGCUGGUGUGUCUGAUGGACAGCUUUUACCCCGGCUCGGUCCAGGUCACCUGGAAAGCUGAUGGCACCACCAUGUCCAGUGGAGUGGAGACCACCAAGCCGUCCAAACAGAGCGACAACAAGUACAUGGCCGGCAGCUACCUGGCGCUGAGCGCCUCCGACUGGAAGAGCCACGAGACCUACACCUGUCAGGUGACGCACGACGGGAAGAGCAUCGAGAAGACCCUGAAGAGAUCGGAGUGCUCUUAGCCCGCAGCCCCGGAGGGCGCGGCUGGUUCUCGUCUCAGUCAGUAGAGAGCUGGGAUCCCCAAGGAGCCGGGAUCCUUCUGUAGUGUCCAAUUUCUCCUGAAAUCCUUCCUCUCCGGGGGUCCCUAUGGAUGCCUUUAUAAACCUCUCUUUUUCCUGUGUCUCCAUCCCAUGCCCUUAUCUCGCUGCGUUUCCUGCACAUGUCGGUCCUGCUUUACUCACUGAUGCUGCCUUGGCACGAUAUGAAUAAAACCAGAAACAUUCAA